UCUGACGCUCUGUGAUCUUGAGGGCUAUGGAUAUGAUCCUGACCACUUUCUUACACUUGAAGAUUUGGAUGUUAUUCUGUGAUGUAAACUUGAAAUGCAUGUGAUUUUUCUUGUUAAACUUGAUGGUACAGAAUACAUGGGGUGGGUUGUGUUCAAAUUCGUCCCCUUUUGGAUGAGAAAAGCAUCAUUUAGUCAGUUGCUUCGUUGGUGAAGUUGGGGAUAGGAGGGAGAUUCAUGAUUUGUUGCUAGCUUGUGAAAGAGACGAGCUUUGAUUUAGACUGUCUUAUUAUGGCAAUGAAUUGACUGUCUCGGAUGAUGAAUGGCAAUGCCAGUGAAUGCAAAGCUUUCCACUGUCUGUGGAGUAUUAUUGCUUAUGAGAUCGGAUAGUUUAUGCGACUAAUCAUCUGUUCAUUGAUGAUUUCUUGUGGGAGAAACUUAGAAAAUGGUUUUGGAGAUAGUGGUUCAGAAGAGAGACGAGGAGCUUGUCAGUACUCUAAGGGGCUUCGAUGUGGAUGUCAGCAUGGUCCUUGAGGAUGUUACUGAGUAGUAUGUAUCUCUCUCUCUCUCCCCCUCUCAAAUUUACUUGUGCUUCAAGACGCUUCUUGCAUUACUUUGGGGUGAAGGGAAGCCAUUCCAUGUUCUUGACGUCAAUUUAUUAUCUGAAGGGGCAAAUGACCUUGAUUUGUAUGUAUUAGCAUUGGAAGUUAUCAUACCCGUGGUUUUUGAGGCCUCUCUGUCCUCAUUUUGAUCUAUGCUUCUAACUGAGAAUCGGUACUCGCACAAGCAUCUGCAAUUUGGCCUUGCUCAACAUCCAACGCCCCCCUUUUUUCCUGUCACUCCUCUUCUUAUUGACCUUCUUAAUAUAAACUGUGGGAGCUUCAUGCGAUCUUAAGAUUCUGUUUUCAUUCUUGCAUACAGUGAAAUCACUGCUGAAGCAUGAAGGGUAACAAAACUUGAUCAGAUUUUGCUUAACGGAAACAACAUAGCUAUUGUAAGAAACAACUUCUUCCUUCUGCUGGUAAUUAUAUGGCUCUAUGUUUUGAGCCCUUGCUUUGAUAAGGGCAUGGUCUUGCCUAAAGUUUUGGUAAUCUAUCAACUAGUAAGCAAUUGCCUUAACCAAACAGAAACAAUCCGCCGCUCAGCUGCUCAGAGAGAUUCCUUCUGAUAAGACUCAAAAUGCUUAGACAAUGUAUUGAUGAAUCAUUACUGGUCUUGAUUUUGUGGUAAAAAGGUCAUCAUCACCUAUUCUUCACAAUCUGGUCCUUUGUCUCAAUCAACCUUGUGUCCACCUCUUGAUAAAUAUAAAGCACAAGUGGUGUGGCAAUUAAGUUACUGAAAAGCUAGAAUUCUGCUUUCAAGUGCUUGAAGCACUUAAGUGAUGAUGCCUUCCUUUUUGUCUUAAUGCAGUUAGUCCCUGGUGUCUCCCCUGAUCCGGAAUGAGUUGGGUUCAUCCUCUAACUCCAGUGGCUGAUUAUGUAGUUACUUUUAGUUGUUGGAAGCCCCAUCAGCAACAUCAUUUGAUUUUAUAACCUCUUUUUAUGGGUUUAUGAAUCUGCACCUUAGUCAAUUGAGCUCUUAUUUGAUUGAGCCCAUGCGUGAAUGUCUGAUGCAAAUAGCUCAACAGAUGGUGCAUGAUCACAUCAUCCUAUUAUCCAAUAUCUAUGUUUUGCUCUACUAGAGGGUGUGACAAUGGUUGUCAUGCUUGGUGCAAAUUGUUCCUAGGUUUCAUCUUCCAGUGCAUUGUUAUUGAAGAACCUGUCUUGGCUUGUUUUAGAGUUCUACAGUUUUUGGCCGUUGACUGCACAAUGAUAUCUGUAUUUGCGCGCCGCAACCAUGCUAUCUUCUUGGUGGCCUGCUAUUUGACUACCCUCUCUGUUUUAUAGUACAUUCUCAACCUAAAUGCAGAAGGGUGUGUUCCCAAUAUCCACUUUGGAAAAGAUCAAAGAAUUCCACUUAUGUGCUUGUUGCUCUUUGCUUGAAAAAAUUCUACUUUAUUAUGCAGUAUGGUUCUGGUACCGAGACAUCAGGCCGAAGAUGUGCACUGUACUGCAUACAGCUAGAUGAAUAAUGGACGUAUUUUGCUCCAAGAGAUUUCAAUAUUCCACCCAAGUAGCUGUAGUUGCUGCACAUUGUGAAAAGAUCCACGCCCAAAGCGAACUCACUUGUUUUGACCAUGACUGGUUUUUUGUCGUUCAUGUUUUCAAGGCGGUUGGCUAUUUGGGUGGAGUGUUUUUUCCUGUUUUUGCGGUAGUGACAUUCAUCAGAGUUUUCUAGAGGAUUUCAGACUGCUGAAAGAGUGAGCUCAGAGCUCGUGAGGUGUGAUAUUGCUUGCAGACUUUGGUUAGAGCGACAAGAUCUAUAUAGGCUGGAAAUAAAGGUGCUGAAGAUUCACCAUAGGCCUCUUCUUUAUCGCUUGUUUUCAUGUAUAUUCACAACUGCAAACGAGCUUGACUUGAGGCAUGUAAAAUGAAGGGUAUAUGCUGAGAACUUUGUCUAGGCAUAGGUGCAUUUUUCUUAUUUGAAGCUUUAUUGGCCAUCGAAGCUCAUCAUCAUGAACAAGUUUGCAGUUUCAUUCCGAUUUUGAUUAGUUCAAACACAUGGUACGAGGUUCUUAUAAAAAUGCUAUGUGUCAGAAUUCCCGAAGUUGGAUCCAAAGUUAAAUAUAUAACAUGAUGUUUUUGUUCUGAGAUACUAAUAAUAAAAGACAGCUUGUUUUGAGUAUGUUGAUAUUUUCCUGUGACUGGUACGGUUCUUUUUCAUUCUUUCACCCAUUUCACCGUAACACAUGGUGCUACAACAAUUGUACCCUUAAAAAACAACGUAGGUUGGGUUGGGAAAGCAGUUAUAUUUCAGUAAUUGGAAGAUUAAUGUGUGACUAGUCAAACAGGGGAUUGUGAUUUUCCCUAGAUAUGAUGGAUACUCCUGAGGUGGUCAUAUAGUUAAUUUCAUUGUGGAGACCAAAUGGAAGAGGAAUUGAAUAUGCAAGGGAUGAGUGGGAGAAGAAUUAACCAAUUCAAUCAGGAGUGACUUCAGGCUAUAUGAUGUUUCCUUGAUUAGUUUCUUAUUCACAGAGUUAGUCUACACAAAAAGGCAGUUUGAUUUGUCUUCAAGCUAUUAUUCUAGUUGCAAUUUGAUUUAGCAAAUAAAAUGCAUACAUUGCAAUCAAUCCUACAUAAUUUAUUAUGACACAUCCUCCUGAAUCAAUGCCUCUGCUUGCUAAUUUGCAUUGCCAUUCUCCUAAAAAUCAUGAUAGGUCUGCUAGGGAAGGAGAUCAUCGCUUCUCACAAAUUUUUCAGUCCUUUAAUUCUUCUUGGAAUUGCAUUCCUUAUGAAAUGGAAAUCCUAGAUUCAAUGUUAAGACAAAGUUUCAUCCAAAAUUGGAUCGUGAUGUUCCAAAUGAAUCACGUUAGGUUAGUGAUGCUUGCUGAACAAUGUGUAAAAAUCACAAUGAUUAAAAAUGAAAAUUACUAGAUUUCAAUCUGGAGUAGUGAUUGAGAAAUCAAACUCUAACUCUCAACCUCUAUUCUGACCUUCUCAAUUAAAGUAUGGCUAGUAUGAAUGUCGAGACCUGAUUUUGUCGUUUUACUUCUCUUUUGGACAAAUUUAGAGAAUCACUUUAUGAUUAUGCAUUUAAAAGUGGUGUUGCGAGUAAGGUAUCGCAUUCACUUUAAAUUAAUUUUUUGUGUUGCAAAACUCCCAAAACAAUAUAUCCGUAUUACCUAUAUAUCCUCAAAUUAAUUUUGGUUUAACUAGCCUAACGGGAUUCACGAGAUUCUCUUCGGCUGUCCCCGAACCACGGGAAGAAAAAGACUGGAUUUUGGAGAAAGAGAAGAGGUUUUUAGAGCGAGACACACUUGCCAACCUACUUCAGACCCAAAAAAGAAAAAGCACACUUGCCGAUCUAAGUAAGUUAAAAGAGGACCAAAAUAUUAGGAAAUUCCGAAAAGUUUUCAGAUGCGCCGGCGCCGUGGAGGUAGUCGGAGAUUAUCUCUUCGGAUAGGGCCCGUCGGCGGCCGACAAGACGCCGACGGGACGACGGUGUGAGGUGGCGGAUUUCGGCGGCCUUCUUGAAGAGGCGCAAAGGACCUCUUCGGGUAGGCCACGAUUCCCUCGGCCGAAGAGAUAAUCUCUGACUACUUCCGCGGCCGCGGCGACGGCGACGGCGACGGCGACGUGGUGCCGCCGAUGGGUGUGACUGGAUUGAGGCUGAGUGGAAUUCUUGGGCGACGGAGGAGGACGUGGAGUCCCGGAUCGGCGAAGUAUGACGCCAUUCGUGAUUUUGUACGCAAAGAAAUUGGAAAGAUCUGGGAAGAAUUCGUCUGCGAUGAUCGGUGCUGGUGGCGAUUCCGGAGCUGGGUUCGGUUGUAAUUCUGAAAUUUUGGCCGAUCAAGAGAUGGGUUCCGUUUUUUAGAGCUUCAAAGCUCGUUGCCAGGCUCUCUUCGUGGACUUGAGUUGGAGAUGGCGACGGCUUCUUGACUUUGCCGGAUAACUCGGCCAUUGGCGGUGGAAGCUCGGGAGAGGAGUCGACGCUCUGCGAUGAGGGCUACGCAUAUAAUCCCGACCACUUUCUUACACUCGAAGAUUUGGAUGUUCUUCUGUGAGGUAGAUGUGAAAUGCAUGUGAUUGUUCUUAUUAAACUGCACCGUACAGAAUACAUGGGGUGGGUCGUGUUCAAAUGCGUCUCUUUUCGUAUGAGAAAAGCAUCAUUUAGUCAGUUGUUUCGUGGGUGAAGUUGGAGAUAGAGGGGAUUCAUGAUUUCAGUGGUAUUUCUCUUUUGCUAGAUUGUGAGAGAGACUAGCUUUGAUUUAGACUGUCUUAGUAUGGGGAUGAGUUGACUGUCGGGGGAGAUGAAUGGUGGUGCCAGUGAAUGUGAAGCUUUCCACCGUCUGUGGUGUACUAUUGCUCUUUAGAUCGGAUAGUUUAUGCAACUAAUUAUCUGUUCAUUGAUGACUUCUGUGGGGGAAACUCAGGAAAUAGUUUUAGAGAUUUGGUUUUUAAACUGAACUUACAACUGUGAUGUACGUCUUGAGGGAACAUCGGGCAGUUUGUUCUGUGUGUGCUUCAUAGCUUUCGGGCAGUAGGAAAAAG
rnacentral:lncRNA from 1 species